GACGAACGCUGGCGGCGUGCUUAACACAUGCAAGUCGAGCGGUAAGGCCUUUCGGGGUACACGAGCGGCGAACGGGUGAGUAACACGUGGGUGAUCUGCCCUGCACUUCGGGAUAGGCCUGGGAAACUGGGUCUAAUACCGGAUAUGACCUCCUAUCGCAUGGUGGGUGGUGGAAAGAUUUAUCGGUGCAGGAUGGGCCCGCGGCCUAUCAGCUUGUUGGUGGGGUAAUGGCCUACCAAGGCGACGACGGGUAGCCGACCUGAGAGGGUGACCGGCCACACUGGGACUGAGACACGGCCCAGACUCCUACGGGAGGCAGCAGUGGGGAAUAUUGCACAAUGGGCGAAAGCCUGAUGCAGCGACGCCGCGUGAGGGAUGACGGCCUUCGGGUUGUAAACCUCUUUCAGCAGGGACGAAGCGCAAGUGACGGUACCUGCAGAAGAAGCACCGGCUAACUACGUG
rnacentral:rRNA from 1 species